GGGUCAGCUCCCAGAUCCAACUGACUCAGUCUGGAACAGAAGUAAAAAAGCCUGGGGAGUCGGUGAACCUGACGUGUAAAACCUUUGGUUAUUCAUUCACCACUUAUAAUGUGGAUUGGGUACGUCAGGUCCCUGGGAAAGGGCUCGAGUACAUAGGAGGGAUCAAUACCAAUACCGGUGGUACUAGCUAUGCUGAAGCUUUCAAAGGGCGAUUCACCAUCACCAGGGACACCUCCAUCAGCACGGUCUAUCUGCAGAUGAGCAGCCUGAAGACAGAUGACACGGCCACGUAUUACUGUGCCAGGACCACAGUGAAAUAA